rnacentral:rRNA from 1 species
GACGAACGCUGGCGGCGUGCUUAACACAUGCAGGUCGAACGGAAAGGCCUGCUUUCCCUUGUGGAUUGCGGGUACUCGAGUGGCGAACGGGUGAGUAACACGUGAGUGAUCUGCCCCCAACUUGGGUAUAAGCCUGGGAAACUGGGUCUAAUUCCCGAUAGGACUGCAGGGUGGUGCCUGUGGUGGAAAACGAUUUUCUAGUGGUUGGGGAUGAGCUCGCGGCCUAUCAGCUUGUUGGUGAGGUAAUGGCCUACCAAGGCGGCGACGGGUAGCCGGCCUGAGAGGGUGGACGGCCACAUUGGGACUGAGAUACGGCCCAGACUCCUACGGGAGGCAGCAGUGGGGAAUAUUGCACAAUGGGCGGAAGCCUGAUGCAGCGACGCCGCGUGGGGGAUGACGGCCUUCGGGUUGUAAACUCCUUUCGACCGCGAGGAAGCCACCUGGUUGGAAGGGUGGUGACGGUAGUGGUAGAAGAAGCACCGGCUAACUACGUG